UUUGGAGCAAGAGCUUUGCUGUUCAGAAAACAUCUUCAUGGCUGAGAUUAAAAUGAAACUUUAGCCUUUGAAAAUAUUAAUAUCAAUUUUCAUGACUCACCUCGGUGAAGCCUCUUCAGUCCAGUUCCUAAUGACAGCCGACUUUACAGACCGUGGCGGUUAUCUGCAGGAAGUACUGCCUCUAAUCCAGAUUAGUUGGGUUAAUCUAUGAGGACCAGCACGAGACAAAAUACUGGCUACAUACGCUCUAAAACAUGAUUGACCUGAAGACACAACAAAGCCACCGAUACGCCAUGCAGAGGAG